GCCCUCUGCUGGACUUGUUCUAGGAGAUCCUUUUUUUUUAUUUCUAUUUUUUUUAUUUUUUUUUUUAACUGGAGCCCAGGACUGGACACAGGGGUGAUGAGGAACCCCAAAGAUGAAUUUCUCUCAUUUGGCCCCUCUCUUCCUGCAGUGUCCCCUGUGCAGGAGGCUUGUUGUUUCAGCAGGAUAGCGUUGUCUUCAGCACAAUAUCCCCUAUGUGGUCAUCUUGCUUUUUCUUUAAGUACAGAUAGUGAGGUCUGCUGUGUUGUGUUACAACUAAAUUGUUACAUCUCAGUAAAUGGUUCUUGCUGAACUUGGGAAAUGUUGUGUUUGGGACUAUUGGGAAAUGCUCCUCCCAGAUACUCAUGGGAAGAUGUUAUUGCCAGUGAGGACUGUUUUCUUGUCUAUUGUAUGCUCUUUAUUCAAAUAAAUAACCUUUCUGUUUAUCUACAUUCCAUUCCUCUGAAAUAGAAAACCAUUGCCUAGAGUGUGCUACUGUGGAAACUGGUACAGAGGAGCAAACUUUGUAUAACCUCAGCUGGUCCCUUGCUCUGUGGUGGCACCAUGACUUGCAUGUGUCUCUGAUGUUUGAUCCUGUGGUUUAAUGCUCUGAGCCACCUGGGUGCAAUUCACUUCUGCCAGUUGGUGUUAAGGGAAUGGUGAGCAUAUUUCACCUUCCCUUCCAUUGUUGGUACCUCAGGGACCAAUGCUUUUGGGUUAUGCAGAAGUGCUCUCAAGACUCUGAGUUCAACCAUUGUAUACUGAGUAUAAAUGUUGCUGAUAUCUCAACUUAAUCUUUACUCCUUGCUGGAGCUGGUUGACAGAAAAAAUACUGUUAUCAAAAGCAUAGUCCUUUGAUGUGGCCACAUAAAAAAAAUUGCUUUCAGCACCUUCAAAAGGUGUAAGGAGUGCAAAUUGAUAAAUGCUGUAUUUUGAUUAUAUAUAUAUAUUUCAGUUAAUGAGCUCUACUUACUGUAUUUCUUUCAAUUUUAUUAUAUACUCCUAACUAAGGUUUCAGAACUGUUGAAUGCAUAUCUUUUUCCUUCUGCAGACUGGGUUAUUUUCGUUCCCAUUAUUGUAUUAUUUUCAUGCUCUUCUCAUCUGAAUGUCUUUCUCUCUUUUGUUGUUAUUCUCCUAAUAAUCUGAUUCUGUCCUGUGCGUUCAUCCAUCCAUCUGCAGAGGGGUUCUGUACGUCCCUUUUCCUCCAGAAAUGAAUGUGUGAAUUAAUUCCUUCUCUGCGUCGGAGACUUAACUAAAAGGAAUCUGGGGAUUUUUGCUUUUCUGAGAUGAUGCUUAGUCACAGAUUUAUUGUGGUUUGGGUUAUACAAUCUGUUUAUUUCUUUAAAUAAUAAAUAGGGAAGUUUAUUAUGCCCCUCUGUGAUGAGAAAGUUAACUUCUUCAGUAUAGUUUCUGCAUACUUAUACUACCUAGGCAGUUAAUGUUUAUCUCCUCUAAUAAAGACAGAGUUAUAAUCAAAGAUAGUAUGUCACAUUGAGCACAUUUUAGGUUUUAAAUGAAUGUACCAAAAAAGGACACUGCUUAAAUAAUUGUUGUUAAAAGCUAUCUAACUUCUUGCAGACAGUCUUAAUAAUGAGAAUUCUGUGAUCUGAAUUUCUGGAAUUACAAUAACUUCUGUUUAUAUGUGUGCUGCAGGUUCCUGGAAACUUGAGGAGCAAUCUGCAGUGCCUGAAGAAUGCAGUUCUCACCGGAUGUGUGUAUCCUACAUUAAGGGGAACAGAAGCAGGAUCAGCUGGUGUCCAGGAAAAACAACUUCAGGAGAUACAGAAGCACUCUGGAGUGAACCAGGAGGAAGACUUGAACUACAGUUGUGUCAAUAAGAGUGGCUGUCCUUGGGAAAUGCUGAAGCUCAGCUUUAUCGUGAACUUAUCUUUUGCCUCUCAACAUGUGCACAAAGGACUUAAUUUUGUUUGGGAUUCAUAUGGUACAAAAGAGUCAUGGCUGUAUGGGUUUCUUCCUCCUUUCACUUAAGUCUGUACGUUUCCUGCAGUCAGUGAUGAAGUCUGUACAAGGUCUGCUGACAUUUGGUCUGCUUUCAAGAGCUCUGAGUGACAGGUACUGUAAACAUCCUACACUCUCAGCUGUGGAAACUAAGAAAGCUGGGAGAAGGCUGUUUACUCUCCCUGCCUUGGAAAUCAUCUGGAGGGUGAGGGUGGAACGUUGUGAGCUCUGUGUUCAUUGUAUUUCUGACAGCCUGUAUUUCUUAUUUUACGUUUGGUGUCAGUAAACAAAUAGCAUCAAAUCAUGCCAUCAGGCUCUUGCGUUCUGACUAAGGCUUGAACUCAUAAUAAUUUAAAAAAGGGCCUUCUUUACAAUAUACUUACCUGCAGUCCUGGCUUGAUGGAAACAUAAAUGAUAGCAGUAACACAGAACAAGCCCUUCGUCUUUAAAUACUGGGUAAAGCAGACCUAUUUUACUGUUUUUUCAUAAGUUAGUGUGCAUGUUUUCAGGUUCACACAUCAAUGGUGUAUUUUGUUAAAGUCUUCCUUAAAUGUUUGGGUCUUGUUUUCACUCAAUUUGUUUUCCCACCUAGAAGGAAUAGAAACAGAUGACUGAAGGCAAAAAAAGAGUUCUAGGGGACUUCAGGUUUCUGUUCCUAUUUGAAGAAAUUGAGAUAUCAACCCCAAUCAGCUGUGUUUAGAAAUAAACUUAAUUAAAGAUGCAAAAGUGUCUAGCUUGGGUUUUAUACUGGUUCUUCUGUGCUGCUUGCCAUCCGGACUGAAUUAUUCUUUGUACUUUUCUUGGCAAUCUUUCUUUCUUCUCUUGUUUCUUUCUAUUUCCCAUUAAUUAAGUAGGACUUCUCAUUUUAAAUGUAGAAUAAUUUUUUUCUUGCAUUUUAAAUCUGAAAUCCUACUGGCGUGGUCUAUAGCCUCAUACUUUUACAGCUAUUCUUAAGCAGUGAUGUUGACAGAAAUGCAAUUAUUCGUGCACUUUCUUUUUUAAAUUUAUUGGAGGGGGCCAUCUUUUGUGCUUUUGAAGAAGUUUUUCAUAAUGCAGUUAAAUUCAAAGAUAACCUUUUGUGCUCUACUGUCAUAUUUAAAUAUCUGCUGCUUUAGAUUUUUAGUAAAGGUAUUUAAAGAAAAAGCUCUGAUAUGAGAUGUCCUAAAGAUUUUAAAUAAUUUGGGAAGGGAUGGAAGUGUAGAGAGAACAGCAAAAUGGUAGAUCUUGUAAGGUUUUGAAAUAGUACUUCUACAAAGUGGUUAAAAAAAAAAAGGAAUUCGAACAGGCAGAUCUCUAAAGAAAAAAGGGGGGAAAAAUCCAUGUUUUGAAGUGGUAAUUAUUUAGGAAAAGGAAAUGGAGGGGGGAAAAAAGUCCUGGGGUCCAGCAAAGUACUACAGACAGGAUUUAAGAUGAUGAGAUGAUGUCUGACUAUACAUAAACAGCAGUUCUUCAGGUUUUGAGAUUUUGACUCUUGAUAUUUAUAGUGAUACUAGAAGUGAGGUUAGUCUUAUUAAAAUACGGUUUUGUGGAGACAUGAGCUGUUCAGACUAGUGAAACGAUAGAGGGUAGCAUUUCCUAACAGACAUGGUUCCCUUGACAGAGAGAGAUCUCCAAGAGUGAUGGAGCACAGAAUUAUAUCCUCCAUCGUAAUCAGUAAUUCUGAUUGUAGGCUGUGCUGUUGAGAUCAGUUAGUUUCUUGAAAGGAGCCAUCAGCUUUAAUGUGUUUACUGCUUUUUAUUUUUAAUUUAAAUUUACUUUAGGCCAGGAACUGUUAUUUUCUGUCAAAUAGAAAAAACUAUGUUUAGCAUUAUCUACUUGUUGUCUAAUGGUGAAAUUCCAUCUUUGAUUUUAUCUGUGUAAGGUGGGACUGUUGAAGCUUUUCUCAUACAUUUUUCCUUGGCCAUUCUUUCCUGUGGCUUCGCUUGUGCUGGUAUUAAUGUUUGUUUAAACAGUGAGCUUAGUUCAGUGGCUUGACUCAGCUGAAAAUUGAACAAGCAAACCAGCUUUUAUCUGGACCAGAUGAGUUAAUAGCUUACUGCGCUAUUGUGAUGCUGUGGCCAAAAUGCUAAUACCUUCAAACAUGUCCACCUUUCUAAAGGGCCAGAACGGCUUUUACUGUAAAUAAGACCAUCAAAUGCUAAUGCAGUAAGCAGGUGAAAAUAAAGGAUUUUGCAUGUUUUUGUAUUUGGCAGUAGAUUGUUCUAUUGAUGCUGUUUGAAAGUAAUUGCCAGCAUAGUGCUGAAAUAAAUUAAGAUUAAAUUAUCAUGAUUAAAGCUUUUGAUUUCUUGAGAGCUA